AGGUGACCACGACGGAUGUGACGACAGCAGCUGAUGACUUCACACACCUGUCCGAUAGUUCUGUCACUUUCCCCAGCGGUUCACUCACUGCCACGUUAACCAUUGAUAUCACAGAUGAUGACGAAAUUGAAGGUGAUGAGGUCUUCACACUGAGUAUUGCUGGGGCAAACUUCUCCUCCAUUAAUGCCACGAUAGUAGACAAUGAGGGAAGUAGGCCUUUUGACUGCCGCCGGAAGGGUAGCGGGUGCUCAGCUUCAGAAGACGUGUGUCGCCCAACAUUGCCACUGUGUGAAUGUGUUGGUGAUCCCCCAAGGGAGGGCGACAUGUGCAACAUUGUAACAG